rnacentral:rRNA from 1 species
GUUGGUGAGGUAACGGCCCACCAAGGCGACGAUCGGUAGCCGGACUGAGAGGUUGAACGGCCACAUUGGGACUGAGACACGGCCCAGACUCCUACGGGAGGCAGCAGUGGGGAAUAUUGCACAAUGGGGGAAACCCUGAUGCAGCGACGCCGCGUGGAGGAAGAAGGUCUUCGGAUUGUAAACUCCUGUUGUUGAGGAAGAUAAUGACGGUACUCAACAAGGAAGUGACGGCUAACUACGUGCCAGCAGCCGCGGUAAAACGUAGGUCACAAGCGUUGUCCGGAAUUACUGGGUGUAAAGGGAGCGCAGGCGGGCGAUCAAGUUGGAAGUGAAAUCCAUGGGCUCAACCCAUGAACUGCUUUCAAAACUGGUCGUCUUGAGUAGUGCAGAGGUAGGCGGAAUUCCCGGUGUAGCGGUGGAAUGCGUAGAUAUCGGGAGGAACACCAGUGGCGAAGGCGGCCUACUGGGCACCAACUGACGCUGAGGCUCGAAAGUGUGGGUAGCAAACAGGAUUAGAUACCCUGGUAGUCCACACCGUA